UACGAAGGGGGCUAGCGUUGCUCGGAAUUACUGGGCGUAAAGCGCACGUAGGCGGAUUGUUAAGUCGGGGGUGAAAUCCUGGAGCUCAACUCCAGAACUGCCUUCGAAACUGGCGAUCUUGAGUCCGGGAGAGGUGAGUGGAACUGCGAGUGUAGAGGUGAAAUUCGUAGAUAUUCGCAAGAACACCAGUGGCGAAGGCGGCUCACUGGCCCGAUACUGACGCUGAGGCACGAAAGCGUGGGGAGCAAACAGG
rnacentral:rRNA from 1 species